rnacentral:rRNA from 1 species
GAUGAACGCUGGCGGCGUGCCUAAUACAUGCAAGUCGAGCGAACGGACGAGAAGCUUGCUUCUCUGAUGUUAGCGGCGGACGGGUGAGUAACACGUGGAUAACCUACCUCUAAGACUGGGAUAACUUCGGGAAACCGGAGCUACUACCGGAUGAUAUUUUGAACCGCAUGGUUCAAAAGUGAAAGACGGUCUUGCUGUCACUUAUAGAUGGAUCCGCGCUGCAUUAGCUAGUUGGUAAGGUAACGGCUUACCAAGGCAACGAUGCAUAGCCGACCUGAGAGGGUGAUCGGCCACACUGGAACUGAGACACGGUCCAGACUCCUACGGGAGGCAGCAGUAGGGAAUCUUCCGCAAUGGGCGAAAGCCUGACGGAGCAACGCCGCGUGAGUGAUGAAGGUCUUCGGAUCGUAAAACUCUGUUAUUAGGGAAGAACAUAUGUGUAAGUAACUGUGCACAUCUUGACGGUACCUAAUCAGAAAGCCACGGCUAACUACGUG